rnacentral:rRNA from 1 species
GGACGUAAAGCGCAUGCAGGUGGUUUAGUUAAGUCAGAUGUAGAAACGGACCCGGGGCGUCAACCUACGGAACUGCUAUUUAGUAAACGUGGCAGACUAGAGUACUGUAGGAGGGGGUAGGAAUUUCAGGUGUAGCGGUGAAAUGCGUAGAGAUCUGAAGGAAUACCGGUGGCGAAGGCCGGCCCCUCGGACAGAUACUGACACUCAGAUGACGAAAGCGUGGGGAGCAAACAGGAUUAGAUACCCUGGUAG